rnacentral:lncRNA from 1 species
AUGAAAGAUAUAUGUGACAUUUGAAAAUUUAAAGUCUGGGUUAACAAUAACAGAGAGUGUACACUUGAAUCCGAUUCAUCUUCAUAUAUGAAACCCAAGUUGUGAUUUAAAUAAGUAAAUCUUGGUCUCACACUUAAAAACUUGAAUGUUAGUUACUUCCUCUAAAGUUAAAAUUAUUGUCUAUGAUUUGGGCAAGCAUUUGAAGUAAAAAGAAUUUUGUUUAUUGCAUUAAGUUAUGUUUAGUGUUGUAUAAUUAGGGAACUGUGAAUUUGAAUAAGGAAGACCUGAAUUAAAAAAAAAGGUGACAUUGUGCUACUAGUAAAAGAUUUCCAGCUAUAAUCUGAGAAACUCGUUUUCCUGAUUAAAUUCUUAGCACAUGCUAAAAAUCAACUUCUUACAAUGUUCUAUUACACAUGGAAUUCUUUUGAAAUAAUUUCAUGUUUUUUAUUAAUAUGAAAACUGUGCUCACUUUUUGGCUGAUUGCUAUUCAGUUAUUUCCUAUUUUGAAGUUGCAGGUUAAUAUUACUCAGAAGUUCUGUUUCUUCAUUGUUUAUUACCAAGAGGCUAAUGUCAUCUAGCAGAAAAAAAAAACCUCCAAACUUAGAAUAAGAAGAUAACUGUUAUGACUGACAAUGCUGCACUUGCUACACUUUGCCUCAGAUUUCUACAGGAAGCGCAAGAUGGAUUUUAUUACCACAGAAAAGCCAGACUUCACACCCGAAUGCCAGGCUCUGCCAGAGAAAAGGGGUUCGGGAGGAGCAGACACUGAAAAAAAAUCACAGGUAAAGCUUUGCUAUGUGAAAAGAAAGGUAAUGUAAGCUAACUAAAAAUUAGACUGCCAGCGAACGAGGAUGAUUUGACAAUGAAAUCAAAAAACAAUACAUUAAUUUUUUAAAAAGAUUUUAUUUAUUUAUUUAUUUAUUUAUUCAUGAGAGACACAGAGAGAGGCAGAGACACAGGCAGAGGGAGAAGCAGGCUCCAUGCAGGAGCCCGACGCGGGACUCGAUCCCGGGACCCCGGGGUCACGCCCUGGGCCGAAGGCAGACUCUCCACUACUGAGCCACCCAGGGAUCCCCAACAAUACGUUAAUUUUUAAGUAUAUGUUUAAAUAGGAUUGAAGAACGAUGAGGAAAGUUAAGAUAAGACACCAGUAUUUAAAAAUGAGAUUAAGAUACAUGAUAAUUAAAAGCCUCAAGUUCUUAUCCCGAGACAUCCUUGGCCACCUCCCCGUGUGAGAGAAGCGUCCACCGCUGGGCCUGGAGCCUGAGCGCCCUGCCGGCGUCCUCUCACGUUAGUGUGAUAUGGCACCGUAGCCAAGGCAGUCGCUAAGGAGCAUUUAGAACAAACAAAAGCUACGUCAAACUGUAAAAACCUGAGCAUUAUCGUUGAGUCGAAGAAUAAGGGGCAUGACACUGAGAAUCACGUCACGUGAAAAAUUUCCCGGGAGGAGGGGUCGUGCGAGCUGACUCCCUGCAGCCACAAGGCCAAGCGCCAGCAGCCCCGCUGGGACGGCGCUAACUAGCCCGGUCGACAGAAAGGACGAGUCCGGCCCCGUGGGCAGCGCGGCUGUGGCCCGGGCAAGGCCACCUGGUCUCUAGGGACUCCCAAGGGGUGAGCAGGAGCUUUGGGCCCUGGACGGUGCAGGUCCCACGGCCAGGGGCUGCCCCGGCCCCCGGCCCCACUUGGGCCCCGGAGGGGGCACAGCUGCCCUCGGUGGCGGUGGCCGUGGUCACCCCCGGUCCAGGGGAGCACAGCCACUAGGGAGCAAAGACACCCAGCAGCCCCCCUGCAACAUCUGCCCACAGGCUCUCAAGCAUUGUAAGGGCGGAACAGGGACCGCCUCGGCCUCAGCAAGAGGCCACCAAGCCACCAAGCUCACUUACCCACCAUUUCAGGGCCCCCCGGAUGCUGUGACAUUUGGAGGGCUUUUCAAAAGCAUCAAAACCCACAAACUG